GACGAACGCUGGCGGCGUGCUUAAUACAUGCAAGUCGAACGGAAAGGCGAUGCUUUUGUGGGGUGCUCGAGUGGCGAGCGGGUGAGUAACAGGUGAGUAACCUGCCCUUGACUGUGGGCUAACUUCAGGUAACUGGGGUUACUCACGGAAAGGUGCUCGUGCUGCAUGUUGUGGGUAGGAAAGUUUCGGCCGAUGAGGAUGGACUUGCUGCUUAUCUGCUUGUUGGUGGGGUAGUCGAUUACCAAGGCCGUGACGGGUAGGCAGACUGUGAGGGUGACCGGCCACAUUGGGACUGAGAGACGGCCGAGACUCCUACGGGAGGCAGCAGGGGGGAAUAAUGCACACUGGACGGGAGCCUGAUGCAGCAAGGACGCGUGCGGGAUGACGGCCGUCGGGUUGUAAGCCGCGUUCGCCUGGGACGGAGCGUGAGUGACGGUAAUGGGUGAAGAAGCACCGGCUAACUACGUG
rnacentral:rRNA from 1 species